rnacentral:rRNA from 1 species
UACGUAGGGAGCAAGCGUUGCCCGGAAUCAUUGGGCGUAAAGCGCGCGUAGGCGGCCCUGUAAGUCCGCUGUGAAAGUCAAAGGCUCAACCUUUGAAAGCCGGUGGAUACUGCAGGGCUAGAGUCCGGAAGAGGCGAGUGGAAUUCCUGGUGUAGCGGUGGAAUGCGCAGAUAUCAGGAGGAACACCAAUAGCGAAGGCAGCUCGCUGGGACGUGACUGACGCUGAGACGCGAAAGCGUGGGGAGCGAACAGG